rnacentral:ncRNA from 1 species
CGUCCCAACGGCUUCCUGACGGGGCGCGGUUCAUAAUCGGAGCA